CACUCCGCCGCUCCGGCUUGUCCCGUUGCGAGCCCCCUCCCCGUUCGCUCCCCAGCCCGCGGGGCGCUCCGUUCCUGCCCUCGGAGCCGGCCACGAGCCGUCCGAAGCACGGAGAGCCGGGCGGAGGCAACCGGUCAUUGAGAAAACGUUAUCUCGGCCGCUGCUUGCAAAUGAACGAAGCUUGGCAGAACACGAGCCGCAGCGUUUCCUCCAUCAGGAAGUGCCCACGCGCCUGGAGAGAUCAGUGCCAUCUCCGUUUACAAGGGGAAAAGAUGAACCCGCACCCUUCUGGGAUUUAUCAUUUGUUUUAAUUGGCACUUUUUUAUACUUUCCCUCCCCCCCCCUUCUUUUACAGGAAUAGUGGUCUUAAAACUGUGUCACACGCAAGAGAGCUAUGUCACAGCAAAGCCUCUGCAUAAAUACUAUAGCACCAAGUGAGACUAAUUCUCCUGUGCAUCAUGUACUCUGGCAAUCUAAAGGGCUUUAAACCGUGUAUGUAUGUAUGUAUAAUGCAUUCUGACACAGCCAGACUAGCGAUAGGAAUCGUGUCUAUCUUCAGCAACAGCAUAAAUCACAGCUGAAUCACGCAAGUUAAUAUUUUUGCUAGACAGGGCAUCUGAGAGCUGCCUACAGGGUCACAUUCUGAGUUCAGUCAGCCACAGCCUCAGCUUAACCAACAGCGCUGCUAAGCAAUCUGUUUAGUUUUUUCACGUAGUUAAAUCCGAUUCUUAAUGCAACACUACAGGCACUAAAACAAGGUUUUUAAAUGUUGACAUAUAUAGGGUGCUUUAAUAGGGACAGCCUCAGGAAACUUCCCAAUCAGAGCUGCAAAUACCAAAUCUCUCUUACAUCUUCUGUGGAAAGUAACCCUCCAGCAAAAUGUACAGGUCUUGAUCUUAUGCAUAUUCUAUCAUAGAUAUAUAUAUAUAUAUCUGCCCGUAUAUACAUAUACUUUCAGGGUUUGUUUGUUUUUUCUAGUGUGUUCCAGCAGCUGGAAGUAAGGAAGGAUCCCAGGCACCCAGCAGCCCUCCGCAGGCAGCCAGCAGUAGCAGUGAUCUGCCACCAGCAGCUGAGCAAGAGGCACCACUCAGCCGGAUAGCUGCCCUGUCUGAACUUAACACAGCUGUAUCAUGAAACACAACCAUAACUCCAGCCUUAACUCUCCUAAGUUGCCUUUCAGAUUCACAGCUGAGUUGAAUUCCGCUUGUUUUAAUAGGUUUUCAACUUGCAAAUAGAAGAGCUUACACGAGGAUGCAUGGAUGGCUUGCUGCCUGUUCCAAAGGGCUCCAUCUCCAGCACCAGGACACACAGAUGACUGACCCAACAAAUAACUUGUCAGAGCAAAGCAGGCCUCUCGGUACCAGACAUCAAUGGACUGGCACACAGCAGCGCUCUGCAAGGUUGUGCAAAAUGAGACUCAUCCUGUAACAGCUCUGCUCUAAAUGGGAAAAAAAAGGGAAGGUCCACAACAUCCCUACAGUGAAGGCAGCAGAACACCAGCGGCUGGAUGGUAACCAAACCAGAACCAAAGCGCUCAUCCUUGGGGAGAAGGCUACCAAAUCCUCACGGCCACGACUGCGCACUUCCACAGUGCCAUCUAUCGGAUGACAUCAAAGCACCCUAUGGCAGCAGCAAGCUCUCUCCAGGUGCUCUCCAUACAGGUGCCCCCUCCUGCCCGGCAGGGUGGGGAACACUUUCUCAGCAUUGCCUCCCUAAAUGUCUCACCCUAUUUUCUUACCUUCGCCAUCGGCCAGCACAGCGCCGACUGACUGAAAAGCCUACCAACAGCAACCCCUCUGAAAAUUGGGUUAUUUAGGAGCCUGAGCGUAAGGCUGAAAUUCACAGCCAAACCAACGCUCAGUGUCCCGCAGGAGCUGCUCAUGACUGCAACCCGAAAGCUGAUUCCCUGUUCAGCACAAUCAGAACGCAACGUGACAUUGCAUGCAUCUGUACCAUGAUGCAAGCAAGUGAAACAAGUCCUCGGGCGGCACGGCUAUUACGUGAUUCAUGAAUAAGGCAAGGAAAACAUCCUCGCUUUAUUAAUUCCCGCCGCCCAUAAAUACUCUGCACGUUUGUGUUCUGUCAGAAAACAACGGAUUCAGAAGCCACCUGGUGCUGUUGCCCCCUCCCCAGCUGCCCCCACCAGCCCCAUGGCCGCAGUGCCAGACCUCGCCAUUCACAAGCAGCCAGCAGACCCUUCCAUUCACAAGUGGAGCCUGCGGCACAGAGAGGAGGAAGAGGAGGAGUUGAAGGGGAAGAGAGCGAGAAAGCGGAUAAAUUCCAUUUGUGCUAUUAAAAAAAAAAAUAGAAAAGUGAACUCGGCAGUUGAAAAGUGAAGAUAAAAAGAUGAAAACAGUAAUCUUGCUACAGAAACCAGAGAAUUAUGUUCUUGCUCUCUCCCCCCCCCCUUUUUUUUCUCCUCUUUUUUUUUCUUGCUUUCACGCUGUACAAACUGUAGCACCCUGAACAACUCACUCCCCUGCUAUUUCCAGCACUUUACAGAAACUUUUCAACAUUUCUGUUUGACACGUAUUUUCAGCAGUGAGGUGAAGACAAUAAGUAAACAGGUAGUGAAGGGCUAUUUAGAGAGCUGGUCAGUCACGGUAAUAACAACGCCAAAAGAAAAAACCUCACACAGAAGAGAACAUCUAUCCUAUGCGCUGUAGCCACAGACAGCACAUGACCUCUGACAAACAGUUUUCAGAGUAAUUUUAAUGCUACUCUGGAUUUAACUUGACUAACUGGUAGCAAUUGAGCACAUCUUUUUUUUUGUGGCAGCAGUUAUCUAAAAUGCUACAAUAACAGCAUCAAAAGUAGAAUGGUGGAAGAUUGGUUUUCCAUUGUGCUGCUGAACUGGCAUAAUGCCCACUUUAAAAGCAAUUCGCUGCUCAUCACUGAAAUCUGGCAGACACGACACUAAAUGCCUCGAGGAAAAAAAAAAAAAAACAGGGUCUCGAGAAGGGGGAACCACUCCAACCAGCGAGCAGAGAGAGGAGGGGGAAGAAGGGAGAAAGCGAAGGAUGAUAAGCCCCUGUAAGAAGAGAAAAUUGCAAAAUAAAAAGUUUGGCGCUGCAUGUAGACUCAACAGGCUCUACUUAAUUUGCUUGGAGAUUUCAUCGCAGGCCUGCAUUAGUAAUAGCAGAACAAAACAAAAGCAAAUAUAUAUUUAUGUCUGCCCAUUGUUCUGAUGAAGUGAAAACGUACUGAGUUACGUCAAUCAUUUGUCAAACACAUCUUCCUAGUUUUAUUUACCACCAAAUAUAAUGAGUAAAUAUGUGAUAAUAAAACUCUUCUUUUUAUACGGACAUAUACAAUUUUUUCCCACUACUAAAUACAGGUAAUGAUUUAGGAGGCUUUCAAAAUGUCUUUUUACUGUCAAUAAAACUAAUUCUAUUCCUAUUUUCAUGUUAAAAAAAGGCUUUACAAAUGAAAAUUCAAAUUAAAAUUCUGAUUAUAGUGUAGUGUGACAACACCUGUAUUUAUAAUUUUACUGUCAGCUAGCUCGUAGUGUUUAACAAUAGCUUGAAGCAGAAAAGUAAUUGGAAUUUGUCUGUAACAUGCCAGAUGACGACACCGGGCACUUCGCCGUGCAAAAGCAAAUUUGGUUUGAUGACAAAAUAACCUUACCAAGAUCUUUAAAAAAAGCCAACCCAAAGGUUCAUGUCGGUCCUCCUCUACCCAAGGACAUCCCAUCCAUCUGGCUGAACUGGGGCCAGCCACUGCAGGCACCCUCCACCUCCAAUAUUCCCCUCCCAGAUGCGUUCCCAGAUGAUGCAGUGGUACCCACAGUCCAGGAGCAGAAGGGAAGGACAGUGAGGGCGCAUCAGGGCAGCCAGAGGUGGUCACGCUGCACGUGCUGUGGUUCUCUAGACCUCUGCAUGAUUGAAGAAGGAAAGCAGUGCUCUGAGCACAGCAGUGCUUUCCUGUGGCCCGGCCAGGCACAGCACAUCUGCUGACUGACAGACCAGGUCUGAUCUAGGACACAGCACAGUCACUUUUCAAGAAACAGUAUUGAAAAAAAUAUGAAAGCUAUUCAAUUUGAGCAUUUCAGAACUCAAACACAUGCCACUCUCCGCACACAACUUGCUUUACACAAGGCUACAAAUUAAAAGCCCAUGUUUUUCAUUAUCCUGAAGACAGGGGAAAAAAAAAUAAAGAAAAGGAAGCCACACAAGAAAGAAAAACAGAAUGACAGUGAUGUUUUAGUUUACACUAGAUAUGGCAACACAUACAAACUGUCAAAACUAUGGAGUGAAAAAAAGCUGUUAUCAAGCAACUGUCAAGAGAGUCCUCUGAGAUUUGGAAAUCUUGUGUUUAUUGUAACUACUGCACAUUACACAAAGAGAGAAACAUCCCUCUUCUUACCACUGCUGCUAAAUAUCAUGUGAGAGAACCCAGACUUCUACCUCACUACUUAGAUUAAUUUUUUUUUCCCUGUGUAAUUCUGUACUUGACAGCACAGAGCCCCUCCUUUUUAAAGUUUUCUGUUGUUGAGUCAAAGUUUAGAGAGAAACUUGAGGUUAUAGUGAGCAGUAUUUCAUUUUCAAGAACUGUCAACACCAUUUUUUAUGUUGUUAACUUGUCGUCCAUCAUCUGAGAGUGGAAACUCUUAACACCGAAACACACAAAGGAAGAAUUUGUCUCUUAAAAGAGGUAUGAAGAAAGAGUGAGGGCAAUGGAAACAGCUGUUUUACUGGGCAUACUACCGAUUCUUUUUCAAGUAAUUUAACAUACUGUCUAGAAAUAAGACUUAUGCCAUAGCUGGCAGCAGGCUAUGGUAUGAAAGGUUCAGCUUCACUGUUUCCAUGUAGAUUUUAAAUCAUGCUUCCUGAUUGUAAGAGAACAACUAUGCCUCAGACAGAAAUUCCCACCCUCUAUGGGGUUUCAGUUGAACCCUCAAAGCAGCUUCUUUAGCCAAAGUCUUUGCAGCCCUUUCAAAACCAGCAGCAACAUUACAGCUUUACUGAUGACUGAUCAAAGUUGCGAGCAAAAAAACAACCUUGUAUUAUGUUCAUCACUCACUGCAAAUCACAUUCACUAUCACUUCUAAACUUUAGGUUUAUGCAAAGACCAUCUUUAUUCCGAAUUUAGUUUUUCUUUUCAGAACAAACACUAGAAGAAGAGCUGAGAUUGACCUUGAAGUUCUUGAGAAAGUAUAAAACCUAGAGUGUGUGCGACUGCACACUUACACGGUUCAGUUCUAGGGAGCAUCAAACCUAAAAGCUCAGUGAAAGAAGCUCAAAGAAGCCUCAAACAUUAUUUAUUGCACAAGAGCAAAUGAACAGCAGCUGCUGUAAAGUCAAUGCAACCACAGCAUGCACAGUAAGCUUCAAGGCCUCAAAGCUGACAUGAUAUCAUUCUAGAUUUGUUAUGGACAUCACAGAACCCAUGUAGAUCUUCGACAUGGAAUAGAUUUCUGCAAGUUUACUUUCUAGCAGUCAGCACCAGACCCUGCUGGAGCUGCCCCAGCAUCUCUUGGCCAGUGCUGCCUGCAGGUGUGCAGUUCCUCAGCCCUGGGCUCCCAGUUUAACAAAGCCCAACAGUUCCAACUAACAGGGAGACCUUCACAUUUUGCAUAUAAAGAUAUGUAUUUUCUUUAAGUCUUAAGAGGUCUUCUUCAAAAUGUCAUAAUAUUUAUGAUCAUCAGAUGAGAAUGCUUGAACAAAAAUUCAGUCUGACAUACUGCAUUUCACACAGCUACCAUGACCGCUCAGAGAUACUUUUAUCUCCAAGUACUGGAUAACCUCAUCUAACACAGUAAGGAGUGUAUUAAUUCAAUACAAAACAUGAAAUAAAAUCACCGAGAAAACAAUAAAUGAAUCUUUUCCAUAUCAAACUGGAUUGUUAGCAGUAUUAUUUCCUAGCUUUUGACUUUCAAGUACUUCCUCCUCCUAGAUUAUAAGAGUUUUAAAGUAUCAUAACAAUUACUGCAUAAGCAGCUGCAGCUCCGUGUCCAUUUAAGACUUGGUUUAUUUUACUAAUACUUUAAUAUAAGCUCACAAAUACUUGUAUGCUCACACAAAAGCUACGCAAAAACCACCAACCCGAUUUUCAGAAAUUUAAGUACACAAAAGGUAUCAAACACUGCAUAGAUAUGAACCGUGUGCUAGAAGUCUAUUCACGUACUUACUGCUCCAUAAAUGGAAGAGUUCU